GUACGUUGCCCCUUUCUGUUCUUUAACAAACAUCAUAACUGAGAACUCUGCUGUGCAGACGUGGUAAUUCCGUAUGACCCCUGUAUAUAAAACAGCACAAAAUCCCCUUGUGCAGCUCCUAUCCCAUGGUGAGUCCCAGCCGUGCACAGUGCCUCACUCAGCACUCACUGCUAUCAGGCCAUUGCUGUUCCUUUAAGCAAGUACAGGUGUGACCUUGCCCGUGAGAACUGGACCAGCACACGGAUCCACAGGCUAGCCAAUGCUGUAAAUCCCAUCCUGGUGGUCUGUUGUCACACCUUGCCCCUGGGAUGAGGGUCUGUGAGAGGAUGCUGGAGCCCUGAUCCUGACACAGCGGUAACUGCACUGCAGGACAUGCUGAGCCCCGGAAAUUUGGGCUGGAAGGGCUCUUUGGGACUCUGCUCAGAGGCACUUGCAAGAUUCACAGACUGAUUGGAGGACAGCCCACCUCUGACCAUCUCUGUGUUUAUAAAUCCUGUUUGGACUAACGUGAUAUUCAGGGGAACGCAGGUCUUGACCACACACACUGUCAGUACAGGACCUUGGACUUGAACUUUGUGCCUCGGACUUCAGCUUUGUGAGCCCUCAGACAGCCCUUCUGCAGCUGCAUCAGGCCACACACAGUCACAGCUCUCAGCUGGGAGACGACAGGCACAAAGCUGGCACUGGCUCUGUGAUUACUUCUCUGCAAAGUCAAACAGGUGAGCAUACGCUGCUGGUGGCCUAAGUGCUUUUGUUUGCCUUAACACUGGCCUUGAGCAGCAGUUAAGUGCAGCUGGCACUGGCCUCAGGAGGCAUCAAUCACCUGCUGCUCCUCAUAAGCUUUUCUAUACUGCAUAAGAAGCCAUGUUCUUGCUCUAGUAGUCCCAGAGAGCUGUGGAGACAGCACAGAAGCAGCAUGAAACUGUCUUUCUGAUUUUAUAUCAUUGGUAAGCUGUGUUGCAAAGGCUGGCAUUGCUCAAGAGUCACACACAGCACAAACUCGGUAUGACGUUGCAGAACAUUGGUGUCCUGCUCUCCUGGGCUCCUUUUAUAAUACCAACUAGAGAGAUUUUCCAGGACAAAUGGAAAUUUGGUCCUUGAAUUUGUGAUUAUGUAUACAAACAGGCCUCAGGCAUGCGGAAUUUGGCCUAUUUGACCAAUGCUCUGAGGAUGCUCUGCUGCUUUUUCUCUAGAAAGCAAAGGCAGUUUUGUGCCCAACAGAAGACAGUUAUUCUUGAGUUUUUUUGUUGGUCUCCUCUGCUCCCUUCCUCUGCAAAGGGGUGUGAAGGGGUGGUGCAGCAUGUGGGUUUUAACUGGACACCAUCCCUUUAAUGUGGAGUUGUGUUUUUUUUUUUUUUUUUUUUUUUGCAGGGCCAAAAAUAAAUGCUAGUGAAGGAAUAAACAGACGUGAAAAGAAGGCUUGGACACUUAGAGGACAAGACUGCUUUGUGUUUCCCAAAGCAAUAAGCCUCUUCACAAGGAGGUUACUCUUUCAGAAAAACACGGGUCCUGUGACACUGCCAAGGUCAGUAGGUGCCCAGCAGAGCAGGGAGCAUUCAAGGCAGACAUGGUUUGGGAAAGGGGCAUAUUUGCUCCCAUUGAAAGAGAGGAGAGAGGAGAGAAAUUUACAUUGCUCUGCCAUUUCAGCUCUUUCUACAGGGUUUGAACACGCACCAGUUUGGCAGCAGAAGGCAGCUUCCACCUAUCUCAGAUGGCAACGUAGCCCCAGCACUGUGGCUGUAUCACUCGCAUGCUGGCUUGGGAAGAGGGCAGUGCUGCUGCAGUUCUGCAGCUGAGGAGGCAGGUAAAGAGAGGACGUGCAUCACAUGCAGAGUCCCGGCAGUAAGGCCUGGAUUUUUCAAGGUGCUUUGCAUUUUUCAGAAGUCCCUUGUGGACGUGGCUCUCUUCUUGUGCUGGUGCUGUACGAGCACUCUAAGCUAGGCCUCUGCUACCUGUCGGCGUGUCUCGGACCGGUCAGCUGCAGUCUGGAUGGGCUUUGCUUUCUGCAGGAAAUAGGCAGAAUUCAAAGCAAAUAGCUUGGUACAGACACCUUGCUUUCUGGUAAGCAAAAUUGGUUAGCAAAGUGCUGCAGUGAUCUCAGUGGGGGUAGGAAGCUUUGGACUUCACUUUAGGGACUUAACUCAUUCUCCAUCCAGUGCAGUAUCUUUUGAAAUGUGACUUUUUAGGCUCUUUAUUGUCUCAGUUGGCUACAGAAUGAAAAUGCUGGGUAAUAUUGAGCAAUGAUAAGAUGAUACAGAGUCUGUCUCCUGCACAAAGGGAAGUGCAGUUCUUUCGCUGUCUCUAAAGCACCAAGUUGUGAGUCAGCCAAAGCAUCUGAGGACUCUGGGUAAGAAACAUGAGCUUUUAAAGGCACCUCAUUAGGACUGAAUCUUCAGCACCGUCUGUAGUGACACACCAAAACAUACUCAUCUCAAAGAGAGCAAAUGUUGAGAAGUUAAGGGAGCUAAUUAGUGGAAUCAGCUGCACUGCAGAUCUGAGGAAUUGAAUGUGAUGGAACUUGGAUUCCAAAACCAGCUGAAACAUGCAGGAAGAUGAACCCUGACAGGAAAUGCUCCAACCCCAGUGGGAUAAAUAACCAGCCCCAAACACGUGGAGAGCAUUAACUGACAUGCAGAAGUUCUGAUUGGCAUGAGGGUAUUCUGCUGGCAUGCAGCUAGGGAUUGAAAUCAGAUGUCUGGAGAGGAACUGCUACAGAAUACGAUGCUCUGCUCUGCUCUGCUCUUUGAUGGAGGCCAUCACUCUUAUCACAGGGCUGACAAAGCAGCUUACCCUGCAGGUCCUGAACAGCCACCACUCCAGUGACGUGUUCAGUGCAGCAGUUCUGGACCUGCCUUAUGAGUUACUGCCACUGCCACAAGGAUGGCAUUGGAGAAGAGUGGUGGAGCAGAAGACUGAAGGCAGUAUUUGCCUCAGUCAUCCAAUUUGAAGCUGCUGGGAUGGGAAAGGCAGAGACAGGAUGAAAAAUGUCAAAAGUGAACUUGUGAAUUGGACUUGAAAAGGAAAUUAGAACAGAUGGCAGAGGGUUUCAGUUAGAGAAAUAAAAAGAGGAGAAACGUGGUCAUUAUGGAGUGAGAAUGGGGUUGAGAUUAAGACCCAUCCACAUAUGGUCUAAAAAUGAAUUAAAAACACUUUGUCCACAUUUUCAGUAGAGAUGAUCGUAUUGAGCAGCGUGACAAAGACAAGAUUUCUAGUGGGAAUAUACAUAAGGGAAUGAAAAUUAUCACAUGUAAGGUGGAAGGAAAAGCAUGAAGAAUUCGGUGUGCUCAGGUGAAGGUGCACUGGCAGAUUUCCAUCCCAGGAUUUGGCACAUUAAAUGAGUUCAGCUUAACCUGAUAUUUCUCUUUGAUGACUGAUUAUUUUUUUAGGCAAAUGAAAUACAGGUGAUUUACUCUAUCCAGACUUGAGCGAAGAAUCUGAUAUUAUACCACAGGGGAAAUUACUCGUUGAAGUUGAGAUGAUGGGGAUUAGUGUGGAUGGUGAAUGCAAACCUGUUAAAGUGCAGAGGAAAGGGGAGCUCUGAGCAGAGAAGAAAUGCCAGACAGAGGCAGUCAGUAAGUGGAACUCCUCAGGAGUCAGUGUUGAGCUCACUCUUGCUUCUUUCAUUAACGAGUCUGGCACAGCAGUAGGAAUGUAGUAAAGAAAUCUGCUGAGGACACGGGCUUUGUUAAUACAGAGGAUGAUCGGAACAUCAAUCAGCAAUGAGUGAAUGACAGAAUUCAUCUGAAAUAGAAUAGAGAAAGUAUUAAGACAUGCAUUUAGAAAUUAAUAACUAGAAUAUCAUAUUACUCACUUGAAGAUGACAAAGGCAGGGGGGUGGAAAAAAAACCACAGAGAAUAAUUCGCUCCCAGGGAUGACUGUGAGCCACCAAUCUGAUAUGGAGAAGCAAACACAAUCCUAGAAGGUACAGGUUCACUCAUGUUCGAGGAAGAUUAGCAGGUACAGAGAAGGGCAUUGAGGAUGAUCAGAGGGUUUGGAACAAGAGGAGACUAGAAGAGUUUCAUUUGUUUAGUUUUUCAAAACAAAGGCUAGAGGAGAUAGGAUUGUUUUCAGUAAAUAUAUCUGAUAGGUAAAGAUCAGAGAAAAAAGAGAAUUGUUUAAACUACAUUAUGAUGCUGGCACAAGAACAAAUGAUAUUAAGGCUGAAAAUUUUAAAUGAAGUGCUGGGACAACCUGCCAAAAAGCACGAUAUGA
ensembl:lncRNA